UACGAAGGGGGCUAGCGUUGUUCGGAAUUACUGGGACGUAAAGCGCACGUAGGCGGACUAUUAAGUCAGGGGUGAAAGUCCCGGGGCUCAACCCCGGAACUGCCUUUGAUACUGGUGAGUCUCGAGUCGGAAGAGGUGAGUGGAAUUCCGAGUGUAGAGGUGAAAUUCGUAGAUAUUCGGAGGAACACCAGUGGCGAAGGCGGCUCACUGGUCCGGUACUGACGCUGAGGUGCGAAAGCGUGGGGAGCAAACAGG
rnacentral:rRNA from 1 species